UACGUAGGGGGCUAGCGUUGUUCGGAAUCACUGGGCAUAAAGAGCGCGUAGGCGGUCUGACAAGUCCGCUGUGAAAGCCCCCGGCUUAACCGGGGAACUGCAUGGGAUACUGUUGGGCUAGAGUGCAGGAGGGGAGAGCGGAAUUCCUGAUGGAGCGGUGAAAUGCGUAGAUAUCAGGAGGAACGCCGGCGGCGAAGGCGACUCUCUGGCCUGUAACUGACGCUGAGGCGCGAAAGCUAGGGGAGCAAACGGG
rnacentral:rRNA from 1 species